GUGCACUGGAGGCCUGGGGAAGAGCUUCAGGAAGGACCCAUGACAAGAGUGCUGCUCCUACCACUGUUGAGGUCCCAACGUGUCUCAGGCUUGUUGACAUUUCAGCUGCCGUGCAACUCGCCAGCUUCUGCUGCCUUCGAGUGUUGCUGUCACUGCUGAGGAAGCCUGCAUCAGCCCAGAGUCGUGCUGGCCUCCUCUCUGCCUAGCAAGGUGAUGCCUGGUCUGCAGUCCAACACUCAGGACCCCCGAAAGCACAGAGUGUCAGCAUUCACCUCCCACUUUUCUAUGCGGUGUCAGCCCAUCUACGUUGCCAUAAAGGAGUAUCUGAGACUGAAUGAUUGAUGAAGAAUAGAGGUUUGUUUUGGCUUAUGG
rnacentral:lncRNA from 1 species